ACAGCAGUCGCCGCGGGAAUACGAAGGGUGCAAGCGUUAAUCGGAAUUACUGGGCGUAAAGCGUGCGUAGGCGGUGAGUUAAGUCUGCUGUGAAAUCCCCGGGCUCAACCUGGGAAUGGCAGUGGAUACUGGCUCGCUAGAGUGUGUCAGAGGAUGGUGGAAUUCCCGGUGUAGCGGUGAAAUGCGUAGAGAUCGGGAGGAACAUCAGUGGCGAAGGCGACCAUCUGGGACAACACUGACGCUGAGGCACGAAAGCGUGGGGAGCAGACAGGAUUAGAUACCCCUGUAGUCCCUGUCUCUUAUAC
rnacentral:rRNA from 1 species